rnacentral:rRNA from 1 species
UGAGGCGGAGCUAAUCCCUUAAAGCCAUUCUCAGUUCGGAUUGUAGGCUGAAACUCGCCUACAUGAAGCUGGAGUUACUAGUAAUCGCAGAUCAGAAUGCUGCGGUGAAUGCGUUCCCGGGUCUUGUACACACCGCCCGUCACACCACGGAAGUUGGGGGCGCCCGAAGCCACUUAGCUAACCCUUUUGGGAAGCGAGUGUCGAAGGUGAAAUCAAUAACUGGGGUGAAGUCGUAACAAGGUAAC